rnacentral:rRNA from 1 species
CACGUAGGGGGCCAGCGUUGUCCGGAAUUACUGGGCGUAAAGGGCGUGUAGGCGGCCUAGCAAGUCAGCUGUGAAACCCCCGGGCUCAACCUGGGGCUUGCAGUUGAAACUGCCUGGCUUGAGUGCAGGAGAGGAGAGUGGAAUUCCUAGUGUAGCGGUGAUAUGCGUAGAUAUUAGGAGGAACACCAGUGGCGAAGGCGGCUCUCUGGACUGCAACUGACGCUGAGGCGCGAAAGCGUGGGGAGCAAACAGGAUUAGAUACC